rnacentral:rRNA from 1 species
GGGGAGCUUGCUCCCCUGGAUCAGUGGCGAACGGGUGAGUAACACGUGGGCAACCUGCCCCAGACUCUGGGAUAACUCCUCGAAAGAGGCGCUAAUACCGGAUACGAGCCCUGCAGGCAUCUGCGGGGUUGGAAAGUUUUUUCGGUCUGGGAUGGGCCCGCGGCCUAUCAGCUAGUUGGUGAGGUAGUGGCUCACCAAGGCGACGACGGGUAGCCGGCCUGAGAGGGCGACCGGCCACACUGGGACUGAGACACGGCCCAGACUCCUACGGGAGGCAGCAGUGGGGAAUAUUGCGCAAUGGGCGAAAGCCUGACGCAGCAACGCCGCGUGCGGGAUGACGGCCUUCGGGUUGUAAACCGCUUUCAGCAGGGAAGAAGCGAAAGUGACGGUACCUGCAGAAGAAGCACCGGCUAACUACGUGCCAGCAGCCGCGGUAAUACGUAGGGUGCAAGCGUUGUCCGGAAUUAUUGGGCGUAAAGAGCUCGUAGGCGGUUUGUCACGUCUGCUGUGAAAUUCCGAGGCUCAACCUCGGACUUGCAGUGGGUACGGGCAGGCUAGAGUGCGGUAGGGGAGAAGGGAAUUCCUGGUGUAGCGGUGGAAUGCGCAGAUAUCAGGAGGAACACCAAUGGCGAAGGCACUUCUCUGGGCCGUAACUGACGCUGAGGAGCG